rnacentral:lncRNA from 1 species
AUGCCAUAUUUUAAAAACUCUUUUCAAGUGCUGUUGUUUUCCCCUUUUUCUUCAUCAGUGUUCUGGACAUCUUGGAAAAGGUAUACGGGAAGCAACAGAAAUCCUUACAAUUGCAAAAUAAAACCUGAGGGGAUAGGAACCGAGAACUUUUCAAUGAAGAAGACAAGAAUUGUUGACAAUUCAUACUUUAGGUCUGUUAUUGGAGCCCACCAGCAUGCCAGGAGUAGCUGGGAGUAUUCAGUGGAGCCCCAUCUGAGACUCUGCCAGAACACAAAGCCUCUCUCUUCGUACAUUUCAAGCACGUGCAUGGGCUACAUCUGUCAGAAUUGGACAUUUUCAUCCUGAUUUGCUUGCUGGUGGCCAAAUUACACUUCCUUGGACCUCAGUCUUUUUCAGAUUCUUGAUUCCCAUUGAACUAAGAAAGAAGGGGUACCCUGAGCCAGGACAGCACCCUGGGGAUGAUUAUUCAUUCAUAUUCAUCAAGUCCACAGCUCUCAUUGAUGUGUACAAUGUGUCAAACGCUGUGCGAGGUGCUGGAAGGAUGUAACAAUGCAAAAGCUGAAGCAGUGCCUGAACUCUUCAAUCCAAUGGGGACAGACUGCUGUUAAACAAUGAAACACACACACUCCGUUGUCAAAUACAACUAGUCAUGUCCGACUCUUUGAGACCCCAUGGACUGUAGCCCACCAGGCUCCUCUAUCCAUGGAGUUCUCCAGGCAAGAAUACGGGAAUGGGUUGCCAUUACCUUCUCCAGGGGAUCUUCCUGACUCAGGAUUGAACCUGGGUCUCCUGCAUUGCUGGCAGAUUCUUUACCAUCUGAGCCACAGGAACAUGAAAAAGGUUUGAAGGAGCACAGUGUGCAAAGUGAGCUUAGCAUGAGAGUGGCUGACAUCACAUGGGUUGUAAGAGAGGGGAAUUCUUUGAGGAAGUGAAGGAGUUCUCUAUGCAGUAGGGAGGUGGACUUCCCAUGCUGUUCUAACGGUAAAGAACCUACCUGCCAAUGCAGGAGACAUAAGAGAGGCAGGUUCGAGCCCUGGGUUGGAAAGAUGCCCUGGAGUGGGGCAUGGCAACCCACUCUGAUGUUCUUGCUUGGAGAAUCCAUGGACAGAGAAGCCUUGCAGCCUAUGGCCUAUAGGAUUGCAGACAGACACAUCUGAACCGACUUAGCAGGCACUAAGUCACUUAGUCUCCUGCAUUGCAGGCGGAUUCUUUAGUAGCUGAGCCACAAAGGAAGCCCUAGCAGGCACACAGAAAAGCUGAAAUCAUGCUGUUACAGGGGAGCAGCAGGCAAAAACUCCCAGGAACUUCAUUGCCUGGCACAGGAAUUAGAAGAAUACUAGUGGUUGGAGCCCAGUGGGCAAGCCAGAUUGGGGCUGGAAACUAGGCAGGAGGGGGACUAUGGUAAGGCUUUGAAUUCUGUAGGCUUUUGCCUUCUAUCUGCAAAGCAAUGGGAAGCUAGUUAAGAAUUUAAUGACAGAACAUGACUUACGUGGUGUGCAGUAUAGAGAAAGAGCUUUAGGGGCCAAGAGAUUGAUAUAGGAAGACUUGAUAUUCAGUUCAGUUCAGUUCAGACACUCAGUAGGGUCUGACUCUUUGCAACCCCAUGGACUGCAGCACGCCAGUCUUCCCUGUCCAUCGCCAACACCCAGAGGUUACUCAUACUCAUGUAUAAAGUCCGUCAUUGUUUCCACUGUUUUCCCAUCUAUUUGCCAUGAAGUGAUGGGACCGGAUGCCAUUAUCUUCAUUUUCUGAAUGUUGAGCUUUAAGCCACCUUUUUCACUCUCCACUUUCACUUUCAUCAAGAGGCUUUUUAGUUCCUCUUCACUUUCUGCCAUAAGGGUGGUGUCUUCUGCAUAUCCGAGGUAAUUUAUAUUUCUCCCAGCAAUCUUGAUUCCAGCUUGCUUCACCCAGCCCAGCAUUUUGCAUGAUGUACUCUGCAUAUAAGUUAAAUAAGCAGGGUGACAAUAUACAGCCUUGACAUAUUCCUUUCUUGAUUUGGAACCAGUCUAUUGUUCCAUGUCCAGUUCUAACUGUUGGUUCUUGACCUGCAUACAGAUUUCUCAGGAGGCAGGUCAGGUGGUCUGGUAUUCCCAUCUCUUGAAGAAUUUUCCACAGUUUGCUGUGAUUCACACAGUCAAAGGCUUUGGCAUAGUCAAUAAAGCAGAAGUAGAUGUUUUUUCUGCUAUUCUC